UACAGAGGUCUCAAGCGUUGUUCGGAUUCAUUGGGCGUAAAGGGUGUGUAGGUGGCGCGCUAAGUCGGGUGUGAAAUUUCGGAGCUUAACUCCGAAACUGCAUUUGAUACUGCGGUGCUUGAGGACUGGAGAGGAGACUGGAAUUUACGGUGUAGCAGUGAAAUGCGUAGAGAUCGUAAGGAAGACCAGUGGCGAAGGCGGGUCUCUGGACAGUUCCUGACACUGAGGCACGAAGGCCAGGGGAGCAAACGGG
rnacentral:rRNA from 1 species